rnacentral:rRNA from 1 species
CUGUGUGGCAUUAGGUUGUCGUGCAGGGGAUGCCCAUCGUUUACUGUGAAAAAAUUAGAGUGUUCMAAGCAGGCUUAUGCCGUUGAAUAUAUUAGCAUGGAAUAAUAAGAUAGGACUUUUUCGCUAUUUUGUUGGUUUGCGCGAAGAGGUAAUGAUUAAUAGGGACAGUUGGGGGUAUUCGUAUUCCAUUGUCAGAGGUGAAAUUCUUGGAUUUUUGGAAGACGAACUACUGCGAAAGCAUUUACCAAGGAUGUUUUCAUUAAUCAAGAACGAAAGUUAGGGGA